AUAGUGACAAAAUCUGAGCCAAAUGUAGCUUAAUGUCUCAAGAGUGACUACAUAACGUUAACGUUGAAAUAAGUUGACGUUAUCACUCUGUUUUAUUUUAAUUUGUCUUUUGAGCAGGAGCGGUCAACGUCACAUUUGCGGCGCUCCUAACAUAUUUUGGUCUUAUGUGUGAAUUUUUUUUUCUUGAAUUAAUCGUGGUUUACAUUGUGUGUUAACGGCACUUUAGUGUUGUUAAUAUAAGAGUGUCGUAGCCCUUACGGAGAGAAGGGGCGGGUUGCAGCGUAAAGCGAGAGAGAACGGGGGCGCGUAGCUAAAAAGACUGAAAAGUUGUAGCUGGAUACUGUAUGUCGAGUGUAAAUUGUGGACAAAUAAAGUGUCGAGACUCAUCCAGCCGUGGUCCGAGUCGUCCUCCCACCAGCUAAUUUCUCUGGACGCGGGGUCUUAAACACGGAGCUGAGCGGCUCCCUUGCCCUUACGGUCAUCAAGCGAUUGACAAACUCAAGUCAUCUAUUCACCUGGAGUCAGCUGAAAAGUCGUGGGCUCAAGUAUUUGUGUGAACAGUGCUACUAGUGUUCCAGUGACAGAGUGAAUGUGGCAAUGCAAGGCCUGCCCUUCAGUUUUUCAAAAUAAACGCAGAGUUCAAGCGCAUUACAACCAUGCCUCUACAGUCAAGGUUUCUGUCGCAGCUUGACUUUCUGUCUGAAAGUCUGCUGAGAGUGUUUGCAAAGCCAUCGGGGAAGCAGGGCAAAAUGUUGAAAGACAUGACAGACAUGAUGAUGGAUGACGUGGAUGCUAGAAGGGAGUCCCUCAUUAAAAAGGACUUUGCCUCUAUUUGAAGGAGAAUCCUGACAUCUUGGUGCACGAGUACAUGGACAUGACUGAUGUCUCCACUCUCAGUGCCAUUGAGAAAACAACAGUGGGAGUCUAUGUUGCCAGGGAGACACCAGGCAAGGACUUUCCUGAUGUUGGCAUCAUCAUCGAAGGUGUGGUGAUACUUCAGGACCUGGAUAAUGUGGCCCUUGCAACAGCCAUGCUGUUUGGACUUUUUUACUGCUUCAACAUGAGUUACCUGGCACAGCUCCCCUACACUUUUGAGGUGAUUCAAAAGGUGGUCAUGGAAUUGGAUCCGACUGAACUCUCGAGAAAAGCCCAAAACUUAAAGACAAAACUUCAAUAAGGAGAGAUUGUUGUGCACGUCACAUGUUUAACUAAAGGUAAGAGGACAUUUAUAGUUCACAUACGCCCUCUUGCAUUUUGGACAUUGAAUUUGUAGGUGAAUGAUCAGCAACCCAAAAACGAUCACAUUGUUCAUUGUAGUGUUUAUUCUGUGGGAUGGUUAUAACUGUUUACCUGCCAUGGAAACGUAGUGCCAUUUUUUUCUGUUUAAUUGGUAUGGUUCUUCAAUUUUGUUUUUCCAAGUGAAAAAGGAUGAUUGUACGCAAUCUGAAAAGGUUGUAGUUUAAAAAAAAAGUUUUAAUACUUCUAAGGCUGUUUUGAAUCAUGAUGUCACAAUACCAGUGUCGAAAUUUUGGACACUUGCUGUAUUUUUGACUGUAUUUUGUGCUGUGGCUUUUGAAAUAAAGCUUUGACAUGCAA